rnacentral:rRNA from 1 species
CCUACGGGUGGCAGCAGUGAGGAAUAUUGGUCAAUGGACGAGAGUCUGAACCAGCCAAGUAGCGUGAAGGAUGACUGCCCUAUGGGUUGUAAACUUCUUUUAUAUGGGAAUAAAAUGUUCCACGUGUGGGAUUUUGUAUGUACCAUAUGAAUAAGGAUCGGCUAACUCCGUGCCAGCAGCCGCGGUAAUACGGAGGAUCCGAGCGUUAUCCGGAUUUAUUGGGUUUAAAGGGAGCGUAGGUGGAUUGUUAAGUCAGUUGUGAAAGUUUGCGGUUCAACCGUAAAAUUGCAGUUGAAACUGGCAGUCUUGAGUACAGUAGAGGUGGGCGGAAUGCGUGGUGUAGCGGUGAAAUGCUUAGAUAGCACGAAGAACUCCGAUUGCGAAGGCAGUUCACUGGACUGCAACUGACACUGAGGCUCGAAAGUGUGGGUAUCAAACAGGAUUAGAUACCCUGGUAGUC